rnacentral:rRNA from 1 species
AAAUUGAAGAGUUUGAUCAUGGCUCAGAUUGAACGCUGGCGGCAGGCCUAACACAUGCAAGUCGAACGGUAACAGAAAGCAGCUUGCUGCUUUGCUGACGAGUGGCGGACGGGUGAGUAAUGUCUGGGAAACUGCCUGAUGGAGGGGGAUAACUACUGGAAACGGUAGCUAAUACCGCAUAACGUCGCAAGACCAAAGAGGGGGACCUUCGGGCCUCUUGCCAUCGGAUGUGCCCAGAUGGGAUUAGCUUGUUGGUGGGGUAACGGCUCACCAAGGCGACGAUCCCUAGCUGGUCUGAGAGGAUGACCAGCCACACU